rnacentral:rRNA from 1 species
UACGUAGGUGGCAAGCGUUGUCCGGAUUUACUGGGCGUAAAGGAUGCGUAGGCGGACAUUUAAGUCAGAUGUGAAAUACCCGAGCUCAACUUGGGUGCUGCAUUUGAAACUGGAUGUCUAGAGUGCAGGAGAGGUAAGUGGAAUUCCUAGUGUAGCGGUGAAAUGCGUAGAGAUUAGGAAGAACACCAGUGGCGAAGGCGACUUACUGGACUGUAACUGACGCUGAGGCAUGAAAGCGUGGGGAGCAAAC